rnacentral:rRNA from 1 species
UGGAUUAAUACCUCAUAGCAUAGCAGCUUCGCAUGAAGCCGCUAUUAAAGUCACAACGGUAAAAGAUGAGCAUGCGUCCCAUUAGCUAGUUGGUAAGGUAACGGCUUACCAAGGCUACGAUGAGUAGGGGUCCUGAGAGGGAGAUCCCCCACACUGGUACUGAGACACGGACCAGACUCCUACGGGAGGCAGCAGUGAGGAAUAUUGGACAAUGGGCGCAAGCCUGAUCCAGCCAUGCCGCGUGCAGGAUGACGGUCCUAUGGAUUGUAAACUGCUUUUAUACGAGAAGAAACACUCCUACGUGUAGGAGCUUGACGGUAUCGUAAGAAUAAGGAUCAGCUAACUCCGUGCCAGCAGCCGCGGUAAUACGGAGGAUCCAAGCGUUAUCCGGAAUCAUUGGGUUUAAAGGGUCCGUAGGCGGUUUAAUAAGUCAGUGGUGAAAGCCCAUCGCUCAACGGUGGAACGGCCAUUGAUACUGUUAAACUUGAAUUAUUAGGAAGUAACUAGAAUAUGUAGUGUAGCGGUGAAAUGCUUAGAGAUUACAUGGAAUACCAAUUGCGAAGGCAGGUUACUACUAAUUGAUUGACGCUGAUGGACGAAAGCGUGGGUAGCGAACAGGAUUAGAUACCCUGGUAGUCCACGCCGUAAACGAUGGAUACUAGCUGUUGGGAGCAAUCUCAGUGGCUAAGCGAAAGUGAUAAGUAUCCCACCUGGGGAGUACGUUCGCAAGAAUGAAACUCAAAGGAAUUGACGGGGGCCCGCACAAGCGGUGGAGCAUGUGGUUUAAUUCGAUGAUACGCGAGGAACCUUACCAAGGCUUAAAUGUAGAUUGACCGAUUUGGAAACAGAUCUUUCGCAAGACAAUUUACAAGGUGCUGCAUGGUUGUCGUCAGCUCGUGCCGUGAGGUGUCAGGUUAAGUCCUAUAACGAGCGCAACCCCUGUUGUUAGUUGCCAGCGAGUCAAGUCGGGAACUCUAACAAGACUGCCAGUGCAAACUGUGAGGAAGGUGGGGAUGACGUCAAAUCAUCACGGCCCUUACGCCUUGGGCUACACACGUGCUACAAUGGCCGGUACAGAGAGCAGCCACUGGGCGACCAGGAGCGAAUCUAUAAAACCGGUCACAGUUCGGAUCGGAGUCUGCAACUCGGCUCCGUGAAGCUGGAAUCGCUAGUAAUCGGAUAUCAGCCAUGAUCCGGUGAAUACGUUCCCGGGCCUUGUACACACCGCCCGUCAAGCCAUGGAAGCUGGGGGUGCCUGAAGUCGGUGACCGCAAGGAGCUGCCUAGGGUAAAACUGGUAACUAGGGCUAAGUCGUAACAAGGUA